rnacentral:rRNA from 1 species
UAAGGAAUAUUGGUCAAUGGGCGCAAGCCUGAACCAGCCACGCCGCGUGAAGGAUGACGGCCCUAUGGGUUGUAAACUUCUUUUCUACGGGGAUAAAUCUCAUUACGUGUAAUGAGUUGAAGGUACCGUAGGAAUAAGCAUCGGCUAACUCCGUGCCAGCAGCCGCGGUAAUACGGAGGAUGCAAGCGUUAUCCGGAUUCAUUGGGUUUAAAGGGUGCGUAGGCGGGAUGGUAAGUCAGGGGUGAAAGCCAACAGCUCAACUGUUGAAUUGCCUUUGAUACUGCUAUUCUUGAGUAUGUUUGAAGUGGGCGGAAUGUGACAUGUAGCGGUGAAAUGCGUAGAGAUGUCACAGAACACCGAUUGCGAAGGCAGCUCACUAAGCCAUUACUGACGCUGAGGCACGAAAGCGUGGGGAUCAAACAGG